rnacentral:tRNA from 1 species
GUCCAGGGUAGCCUAGUGGACAUGGCAUCUGCCCGGUAAGCGGAACAUUGUGGGUUCCAUUCCCAACCCUGGACA